rnacentral:rRNA from 1 species
UACGUAGGGUGCGAGCGUUGUCCGGAAUUAUUGGGCGUAAAGAGCUCGUAGGCGGUGUGUCACGUCGGCCGUGAAAACCUGCAGCUUAACUGUGGGCGUGCGGUCGAUACGGGCAGGCUAGAGUUCGGUAGGGGAGACUGGAAUUCCUGGUGUAGCGGUGAAAUGCGCAGAUAUCAGGAGGAACACCGGUGGCGAAGGCGGGUCUCUGGGCCGAUACUGACGCUGAGGAGCGAAAGCGUGGGGAGCGAACAGG